GCGGAGAGGAAACCCGGGCCUAGUGAAGGCCUAACCUUUGACCCUCUGCCGGCAGCUCCCUGGUGCUCGAGGCUGGAGAGGGAGGCCGGUCCGGAAAAGAGGCUGGAGAGAGGUACCGGGAAGGGGAAAAAAGAGGUCUGGUUUGUUCCCCCGAGGAACUGGUGGCUGAAUCUGCAGAAAGGAGCCCGAGCCGCCCCCCAGCAGGGGCCACCCGACGUCCUAACCCUCCCGCUGCUGUUCUGCUCCCCAAGGAGGCCUCUUCAGGCCACGCGCCCUCACCACCUCCCUUCAGCGUCUGUGGGAAAGAUCAGUAACCCCCGGCAUUGGUGUAACCAGCGCGCGCCCAAUGCAGUCGUAUUCCUCGAAUGCGCGCACCGCCCGCCACACUUGGAGAAUCCAGCCCACAGAGGUUUCGGAAACCCCAUUUUCCUGAUUGCAGCCCAGACUCUGGAACCCCGCAAGCCUUCCGGGGAAGCGAGCCCAAUCCAGACCAAGCAGACCUCUGGCGCUGCCGGGUUCGUACAACCACUAAAGCAGCGUCAUCUUGAGAGUUAUUUUGGGGAAAAAGACCUGGGACCUGGGUUUGAGUUAAAGACGUUAGAGGCAAGGGACAGAUGGCCCAGCAUUUCUUUGGAACGAGGCAGAACUGAGAACUACCCAGCUGGACCAGCAUUGCCGAAAACUGGAGAUUAGGAAAUGUAUUCUCCUCGCACACACAGUAGCACACAUCUCCUCCGACGGCGAGUUCACCCCUACGCCAGGGGCCUCUGGCUCCGCCGCUGCGUUUCCCAGACGCCCUUUCGGCCUUCUCCAGGUUUUGCCAGGCAAAUGAAACGAGCAGAACUCGAUGGUAAAUUAUUUUGUUCAGCCUUCCGUCUUUUUAUAAAAAUAAAAGGCAACACUUUGUCAUUUUUAAUCAUAUAAGCAGACAAUAAACCUAAUUUUGAUAUUGA
rnacentral:lncRNA from 1 species